UACGUAGGGUCCGAGCGUUGUCCGGAGUGACUGGGCGUAAAGCGCGCGCAGGCGGCCUGUUAGGCACGACGUGAAGCCCCGGGCUCAACCCGGGAGGGUCGUCGUGAGCCGGCGGCUUGAGGCCGGUAGAGGUGGGUGGAACUCCUGGUGGAGUGGUGAAAUGCGUAGAGAUCAGGAAGAACACCCGUGGCGAAGGCGGCAUCCUGGACCGACACUGACGCUGAGGAGCGAAAGCCAGGGGAGCAAACGGG
rnacentral:rRNA from 1 species